UACGUAGGGUGCGAGCGUUAAUCGGAAUUACUGGGCGUAAAGCGUGCGCAGGCGGCUCUGCAAGACAGAUGUGAAAUGCCCGGGCUCAACCUGGGAACUGCAUUUGUGACUGCAGUGCUGGAGUGCGGCAGAGGGAGAUGGAAUUCCGCGUGUAGCAGUGAAAUGCGUAGAUAUGCGGGGGAACACCGAUGGCGAAGGCAAUCUCCUGGGCCUGCACUGACGCUCAUGCACGAAAGCGUGGGGAGCAAACAGG
rnacentral:rRNA from 1 species